AAACAUACCAUGCAGGGGAGAUACUAUGUUCCCAAAGGUGGUUUUCUUAGAGCAAGACUUAUCCAUUGAACUCUGUAUAUGCUGACCCCUGUGAGUCCAAAAUGCUGAAAAUUCAACUAUAUAAUUUGUGUUAGUUGUGCACUAUAUUCAUGUACUUCACCA